GAUGAAGAACGUAGCGAAAUGCGAUAAGUAAUGUGAAUUGCAGAAUUCAGUGAGUCAUCGAAUCUUUGAACGCACAUUGCGCCCCCUGGUAUUCCGGGGGGCAUGCCUGUUCGAGCGUCAUUUCACCACUCAAGCCUCGCUUGGUAUUGGGCAACGCGGUCCGCCGCGUGCCUCAAAUCGACCGGCUGGGUCUUCUGUCCCCUAAGCGUUGUGGAAACUAUUCGCUAAAGGGUGUUCGGGAGGCUACGCCGUAAAACAACCCCAUUUCUAAGGUUGACCUCGGAUCAGGUAGGGAUACCCGCUGAACUUAAGCAUAUCAAUAAGCGGAGGA
rnacentral:misc_RNA from 1 species